rnacentral:rRNA from 1 species
UACGUAGGGGGCAAGCGUUAUCCGGAUUUACUGGGUGUAAAGGGAGCGUAGAUGGAAUUGCAAGUCUGAUGUGAAAAUCCGGGGCCCAACCCCGGAACUGCAUUGGAAACUGUAUUUCUAGAGUGUCGGAGAGGCAAGUGGAAUUCCUGGUGUAGCGGUGAAAUGCGUAGAUAUCAGGAGGAACACCAGUGGCGAAGGCGGCUUGCUGGACGAUGACUGACGUUGAGGCUCGAAAGCGUGGGGAGCAAACAGG